rnacentral:tRNA from 21 species
GCCGGCUUAGCUCAGUUGGUAGAGCAUCGGUAUCGUAAACCGAGGGUCAGGUGUUCGAGUCACCUAGCCGGCAUCA